rnacentral:sRNA from 1 species
CGGGAGGCUCCGAGGACUGCAAAAGGGUGGAGUCGGCCUCGCCCCCGCCCAGGCCCCGCCCCUGCCGGGAGCCCACUUUCCCAGUCCUGGGCGGCGGUCAGAUCCUUGCAAGCAUGGUCGCGCCGGGGCUUGUACUCGGGCUGGUGCUGCCAUUAAUCCUGUGGGCCGACAGAAGUGCAGGUAUUGGUUUUCGCUUUGCUUCAUACAUCAAUAAUGAUAUGGUGCUGCAGAAGGAGCCUGCUGGGGCAGUGAUAUGGGGCUUUGGUACACCUGGAGCCACAGUGACCGUGACCCUGCGCCAAAGUCAGGAAACCAUCAUGAAGAAAGUGACCAGUGUGAAAGCUCACUCUGAUACCUGGAUGGUGGUACUGGAUCCUAUGAAGCCUGGAGGACCUUUCGAAGUGAUGGCACAACAGACUUUGGAGAAAAUAAACUUCACCCUGAGAGUUCAUGAUGUCCUGUUUGGAGAUGUCUGGCUCUGUAGUGGGCAGAGUAACAUGCAGAUGACUGUGUUACAGGUAAUUUGCAGAGUCUCAGCAAUAAUACACAGUGUUGGUGAUGAAGAAGGAAAAGAAGGAGGAAUAAGGGGGCAACAAGGAGAAGCAGGGCUGUUUCUAUUUAGUGAGUACCAUGAGCUAAGAUAUGUUCUAAGUGCUAUGAAUGAAUUCAUUAAUUUGACUUAACAAUCUGAAGAGAUAAGCUACUGAUUAAAUUGGUAGUUAUUGAUUAGUGCUAAUGUAUUCUAUAUAGGUUAAGAACUUAGAAGGAGUAUCGUUUUCUCUAGCACUUUCUCCAAAACUGAGUUUCUUCUCAAGUUGAUUUUUAUUUUCUUGCUUUUUUUUUUUUUUUCUUUUUUGAGACGGAGUUUCUGUCUUGUUGCCCAGGCUGGGGUGCAAUGGUGCAAUCUCAGCUCACUGCAACCUCCACCUCCCGGGUUCAAGCGAUUCUCCUGCCUCAGCCUCCCAAGUAGCUGGGAUUACAGGCAUCUGCCACUAUGCCUGGCUAAUUUUUGUAUUUUUAGUACAGACGGGGUUUCGCCAUGUUGGCCAGGUUGGUCUCGAACUCCUGACCUCAGAUGAUGCACCCGCCUUGGCUUCCCAAAGUGCUGGGAUUACAGGUCUGAGCUACUGAGCCCAGCCUGUUUUCUUGCCUUUUAAUCAUUCCUUUGAGAAAUAUUAAAUUUGAGAUGUAAACCUGUAUAGAACUAGACCAUUACCUCAAUUCAUCUCUUUUUGAAAAAUUUAUGAAAUACAGUAUGUUCGUAUACUCUAUGAUUUAUUGUUUUGCUUCUGUUUCUUAGUUUUUUCUAUUUUUUUCUUUUUGUAGUCUUCUACUAAAUAAUGCUACUAAAAUGAUCUUACUCUGAACAUAUCUACUUCAUUUCAUCAUUAGUUUUCUGAUUUAGAAUUUAAAUUCUUGCAUUGAAGUCUUCCUUAUCAACAUUUUAUUUACUCUUACAUUCUGUCUUAUUUAUAUAUACGGAAGCCCCCCCCCGCCACCUUUUUUUUUUUUUUUUUAAAGAGAUAAAGUCCUUCUCUGUCACCCAGGCUGAAGUGCAGUGGUAUGAUCGUAGCUCACUGCAGCCUAGAACUCCUGGGCUCAAGGGAUCCUCCUGCCUCAGCCUCCUGGGUAGCUGGGAUUGCAGGUGUGAGCCACCAUAUCCAGCUGAUUUUUUAUUUUUUAUAGAGAUAGGGUCUUGCUAUGUUACCCAUGCUGGGCUUUUUGAAUUAAAAUGUUUAUUAAACUGAACUUUGGACUCUUUUAGCAUAAGAGAGUAGAAGCAGAAUCAAAGUUUUAUUUCUUGAUAGAAAGGAUGGUUUUGUAUAGAAGCAGAAUUGCUGUUAACUCAUUAAGGAAAACAGUAUUUUUCUUAAUGCUGUAAUUGCAGUUCCCUGUUUGCACAGAAAGGCAUGGACCAGAUCUGUUUGUAUCUAUAUAGUCGCUUUCUCAACAGCAGUCUAUGCCAGGGGAUUCCAUCCCAUUUUCUGUCAAGCUAAAUCAGAUUUUGAUUGUUAAGAGUAAACAUAUUUUCUCUGCCUAGAAUUUACCCCUGAGCAUCUUCUGUAUAAAGCUAGGUCUCUAAGCUCUGAGAUAUAGGGGAACAGAAAAAAAUUCCGUCUGAAACAUCCAAGUGUUAAUAUUUAUUUUUUAUUUUUGUUUAAAUCAUGCACUUAGUUUGCAAGAUAACAUUUUAGAUGCUGACAGUACCAAAAGCCAAGUUUCUAGUCUCUUAACAGUCUAUGGAACCUUGUUUUUUGAUUAAAAGAAUGUUCUACAUGG